rnacentral:rRNA from 1 species
UACGGGGGGAGCAAGCGUUGUUCGGAUUUACUGGGCGUAAAGCGUGCGCAGGCGGCUUUGCAAGACAGAUGUGAAAUCCCCGGGCUUAACCUGGGAACUGCAUUUGUGACUGCAAGGCUGGAGUGCGGCAGAGGGGGAUGGAAUUCCGCGUGUAGCAGUGAAAUGCGUAGAUAUGCGGAGGAACACCGAUGGCGAAGGCAAUCCCCUGGGCCUGCACUGACGCUCAUGCACGAAAGCGUGGGGAGCAAACAGG